ACUAAGCGUACACGGUGGAUGCCCUGGCAGUCAGAGGCGAUGAAGGACGUGCUAAUCUGCGAUAAGCGUCGGUAAGGUGAUAUGAACCGUUAUAACCGGCGAUUUCCGAAUGGGGAAACCCAGUGUGAUUCGUCACACUAUCAUUAACUGAAUCCAUAGGUUAAUGAGGCGAACCGGGGGAACUGAAACAUCUAAGUACCCCGAGGAAAAGAAAUCAACCGAGAUUCCCCCAGUAGCGGCGAGCGAACGGGGAGCAGCCCAGAGCCUGAAUCAGUGUGUGUGUUAGUGGAAGCGUCUGGAAAGGCGUGCGAUACAGGGUGACAGCCCCGUACACAAAAAUGCACAUACUGUGAGCUCGAUGAGUAGGGCGGGACACGUGGUAUCCUGUCUGAAUAUGGGGGGACCAUCCUCCAAGGCUAAAUACUCCUGACUGACCGAUAGUGAACCAGUACCGUGAGGGAAAGGCGAAAAGAACCCCGGCGAGGGGAGUGAAAAAGAACCUGAAACCGUGUACGUACAAGCAGUGGGAGCACGCUUAGGCGUGUGACUGCGUACCUUUUGUAUAAUGGGUCAGCGACUUAUAUUCUGUAGCAAGGUUAACCGAAUAGGGGAGCCGAAGGGAAACCGAGUCUUAACUGGGCGUUAAGUUGCAGGGUAUAGACCCGAAACCCGGUGAUCUAGCCAUGGGCAGGUUGAAGGUUGGGUAACACUAACUGGAGGACCGAACCGACUAAUGUUGAAAAAUUAGCGGAUGACUUGUGGCUGGGGGUGAAAGGCCAAUCAAACCGGGAGAUAGCUGGUUCUCCCCGAAAGCUAUUUAGGUAGCGCCUCGUGAAUUCAUCUCCGGGGGUAGAGCACUGUUUCGGCAAGGGGGUCAUCCCGACUUACCAACCCGAUGCAAACUGCGAAUACCGGAGAAUGUUAUCACGGGAGACACACGGCGGGUGCUAACGUCCGUCGUGAAGAGGGAAACAACCCAGACCGCCAGCUAAGGUCCCAAAGUCAUGGUUAAGUGGGAAACGAUGUGGGAAGGCCCAGACAGCCAGGAUGUUGGCUUAGAAGCAGCCAUCAUUUAAAGAAAGCGUAAUAGCUCACUGGUCGAGUCGGCCUGCGCGGAAGAUGUAACGGGGCUAAACCAUGCACCGAAGCUGCGGCAGCGACGCUUAUGCGUUGUUGGGUAGGGGAGCGUUCUGUAAGCCUGUGAAGGUGUGCUGUGAGGUAUGCUGGAGGUAUCAGAAGUGCGAAUGCUGACAUAAGUAACGAUAAAGCGGGUGAAAAGCCCGCUCGCCGGAAGACCAAGGGUUCCUGUCCAACGUUAAUCGGGGCAGGGUGAGUCGACCCCUAAGGCGAGGCCGAAAGGCGUAGUCGAUGGGAAACAGGUUAAUAUUCCUGUACUUGGUGUUACUGCGAAGGGGGGACGGAGAAGGCUAUGUUGGCCGGGCGACGGUUGUCCCGGUUUAAGCGUGUAGGCUGGUUUUCCAGGCAAAUCCGGAAAAUCAAGGCCGAGGCGUGAUGACGAGGCACUACGGUGCUGAAGCAACAAAUGCCCUGCUUCCAGGAAAAGCCUCUAAGCAUCAGGUAACAUCAAAUCGUACCCCAAACCGACACAGGUGGUCAGGUAGAGAAUACCAAGGCGCUUGAGAGAACUCGGGUGAAGGAACUAGGCAAAAUGGUGCCGUAACUUCGGGAGAAGGCACGCUGAUACGUAGGUGAAGCGACUUGCUCGUGGAGCUGAAAUCAGUCGAAGAUACCAGCUGGCUGCAACUGUUUAUUAAAAACACAGCACUGUGCAAACACGAAAGUGGACGUAUACGGUGUGACGCCUGCCCGGUGCCGGAAGGUUAAUUGAUGGGGUUAGCGCAAGCGAAGCUCUUGAUCGAAGCCCCGGUAAACGGCGGCCGUAACUAUAACGGUCCUAAGGUAGCGAAAUUCCUUGUCGGGUAAGUUCCGACCUGCACGAAUGGCGUAAUGAUGGCCAGGCUGUCUCCACCCGAGACUCAGUGAAAUUGAACUCGCUGUGAAGAUGCAGUGUACCCGCGGCAAGACGGAAAGACCCCGUGAACCUUUACUAUAGCUUGACACUGAACAUUGAGCCUUGAUGUGUAGGAUAGGUGGGAGGCUUUGAAGUGUGGACGCCAGUCUGCAUGGAGCCGACCUUGAAAUACCACCCUUUAAUGUUUGAUGUUCUAACGUGGACCCGUGAUCCGGGUUGCGGACAGUGUCUGGUGGGUAGUUUGACUGGGGCGGUCUCCUCCUAAAGAGUAACGGAGGAGCACGAAGGUUGGCUAAUCCUGGUCGGACAUCAGGAGGUUAGUGCAAUGGCAUAAGCCAGCUUGACUGCGAGCGUGACGGCGCGAGCAGGUGCGAAAGCAGGUCAUAGUGAUCCGGUGGUUCUGAAUGGAAGGGCCAUCGCUCAACGGAUAAAAGGUACUCCGGGGAUAACAGGCUGAUACCGCCCAAGAGUUCAUAUCGACGGCGGUGUUUGGCACCUCGAUGUCGGCUCAUCACAUCCUGGGGCUGAAGUAGGUCCCAAGGGUAUGGCUGUUCGCCAUUUAAAGUGGUACGCGAGCUGGGUUUAGAACGUCGUGAGACAGUUCGGUCCCUAUCUGCCGUGGGCGCUGGAGAACUGAGGGGGGCUGCUCCUAGUACGAGAGGACCGGAGUGGACGCAUCACUGGUGUUCGGGUUGUCAUGCCAAUGGCACUGCCCGGUAGCUAAAUGCGGAAGAGAUAAGUGCUGAAAGCAUCUAAGCACGAAACUUGCCCCGAGAUGAGUUCUCCCUGACCCUUUAAGGGUCCUGAAGGAACGUUGAAGACGACGACGUUGAUAGGCCGGGUGUGUAAGCGCAGUGAUGCGUUGAGCUAACCGGUACUAAUGAACCGUGAGGCUUAACC
rnacentral:rRNA from 1 species